GCAGAAUUAUCUAGAGAUGAAAGUAUAUUUGAGUUUGGCAAAGCUUCACUGGCUCCUUUUUUUUUGCAAAGCCUUCCAUCUGAACUAACUCCUUCUGAACAAACCCAAGAUUGUGGCAGAAAGUGAUCAUUUGCAUGAAAAAGGAAGUCUUAUGAACUUCUGUUCCACAGCAAGCCAAACUCAAGGGCACUUCCACUCAAACUUUUGCUCCAUGAACCACUCCACUUGCCCAUACUUCACAGCUAUUAUGGUUGUGCCCGCAGCUCUGCAAAAGGAACCUAAGUUGAUGAGAAGGAGCUGCUGAUGAGAAUUCCUACAUCAGGGAAAUCCUUUUCUAAGCACUUCCAUUCUUGGAGUUGGUCAAAGACUAUACCAGAAGUUCUGUUCUUCCAAAACCUCUAGUGGUACCGCACCCAGUUCUGCUGCAACAACUCAACUCCCAAAACAGA
rnacentral:lncRNA from 1 species